GGUUGCCCUUGAUUCCUUUCGACUCCGAAUCCUUCUCUGUGUCUCUCGGGGCAAGAAGAAGCUUCGUCACGGAAUAUGGGGAGACGUACAGCUACAAAAGAGGAGGUGGGGGGAACAACUUGGUGGAGGUGCACCUUCUGAAUCGUCACUACUUCAGAUCUUAAGACCGACCGCUUCCAGCGGCGGAUUAGAGCCAAGUAUGUAACAUGACCUAGUCCUCGAUAGCUGUUUGAUUAGCAAGUUCGUUUGUGGUUUUAUCUUGUUUGUGAUUAGCAAGUGUAUGUGGCAUAAAUACAUACACUUGGUGGGUUGGAGGCCCAUGAGACGAGGACUUCCGGCCACGGGCUUCUUCUGUUCGGUUUCUUCCCUUAUCUUGUUUCUUGUUAUUUGGAGACUCAUUCUGAAGCUGAUUGAUUUGAUCUGUCGGUGGCGCUUUCUGUUCUUUAUCUGUUUGUUCUCUUAUCUGAUGCUUUGGAAGAAUUCGAGACAUUCGAUAUCUGUUUGUUCUUAUGCCUGGUGCAUUCGCUUUCUUCAUCCUUUGUCUGUUUCUUCUCUCAUCCUGUUGCUUUGAAAGAAUUCGAAACAUUCGAUAUCUGUUUGUUCUCGUGUCUGGUCCGUGCGCUUGCUUUAUUCAUCCUCGUCUGCUUGUUCUCUUAUCUGUUGCUUUGGGAGAUAUACCUGUUUGUUCUUAUGCAUGAUGCAUGCGCUUUCUUUAUCCUUUAUCUGUUUGUCCUCUUAUCUGAUGCUUUGGUAGAAUUCGAAACGUCCGAUAUCUGUUUGUGUUUAUGUCUGGUGCAUGCUCUUUUAUCUAUUUGUUCUCUUAUCUAUUGGUUUGGAAGAAAUGUAAACCUUCGAUAUCUGUUUGUCCUCAUGCCUGACGCAUGCGCUUUCUUCAUCCUUCAUCUGCUUGUUCUCUAGCCGAUGCUUUAUUAGAAUUGGAAACGUUCGACAUCGGCAUGUUCUUGUGCCGCAUGCGCUUUCCUCGCCCUUAUCUGUUUGUUCUCUUAUCUGAAGCUUUGGAAGAAUUUGAAGCAUUCGAUAUCUAUUUGUUCUUAUAUCAUAAUUGCAAAAUGUAACGAGAAGCUAUGGAGUUGCUUGUGUAUGAACAAAGGGGGAGAACUCCUCCUCACUGCCUACCGACCAACAGAGAGAGACCCAAAGAAGUAUAAAUCCGAAUGUUCACAUUCUCUCUUGUGUUCAUUUUAGUGCUAAAAUAUGCCAAAAACAAAAUUAUAUAGCUCAAGGACCCUUUAAUUAAAUCUAAAUUAUGUCUAUUUAUUGUGUCUUAUGUCCCCAUGAUAACAUUUAUUGUGUCUUUUGUCUUAUGUCCAUUUCUUUUUGUUCUUGGACUAUCCAUCAUAAAGCAAGUGGUUCUCAAUCUUGACAAUGCCCCACAAACAGCCAUGGACCAUUCAUCAUUACUUUGCUUGGAUCGGCAUGCGUUUACAGUCCCAAUAUGAGACUUUAGUUCUCAGACAUGUUCUUGUUGUUGCCUUCCUUUAACUGACCGUGCGUGUUGCACGCAUGCAUCAAUUGCAACAGCAAGCCAUAUGUAUUAGAAUGAUGCUGUAGGUGAGUGCCUGAGGGGGGAGGAGAACCCGUCGGCCGCACCGCCCCGACUUUACGGUGGACAGAGUGGCCGUCCACUGGCGACUGGAUUAGUGUCGGCAAUUGCUGCCAUAUCGUACUUAUUAACAAAAGAUCAAAGUGGCAUAACAAAUAGGUAAAUUUAGUUGACCAAAUCUUAUUAUAGUAGAAGUUUUUCUUAUUAACUAAGGUUUCUAUGUAGUCGAUCCUGAAUAAUACAUUGAGACUAGAUUUUGAUUAGAAAUGGGAGUUGGAGGGUUAAUACUUUCUCAGGAUAACAAUAACGAUUGUUAAUGAUAGUAGUAGGUUUGAGAAAAACUUCAAUCUUAUGAUUUGGUAAGGUUAAUUUAGUUUCUCUUGUUUUUGUUCUUGUUUGCAUCGUACAUGUGGGGCAAUGAAGCCUAUCGAGGAUAUGAGGAAACAGAUGGCAAACUGGUGGACAUUAGCAUUUCUCUAAUUAAAUUAAACUCAGUAGAACAACAAAAAGGAAACCUUUGAAUUUGUUCAUCGAUCUUAUAGGUCAACCAUGUCAGCCAGUGUAGUCGUGUUGAUGAAAAGAGUCUGCAUGUUAAUCCUCUUCGGUCCUGCAGUGGUAUGUUCGCAUACAAGUACAAGGACUAGGGUAUCAUUUGUUUCUUGCAGCCCAUGGGAACGAAGAGGAGGGAGGAUAGAGGUGGAGGAAUACAUUCAGCUGCACUAACGACAUCUCAAGAUGUUGCUCUGC
rnacentral:lncRNA from 1 species